rnacentral:rRNA from 1 species
CAUCUCCCAAGGCUAAAUACUCCCUAGUGACCGAUAGUGAACCAGUACCGUGAGGGAAAGGUGAAAAGCACCCCGGAAGGGGAGUGAAACAGUUCCUGAAACCGUGUGCCUACAAGUAGUUAGAGCCCGUUAAUGGGUGAUAGCGUGCCUUUUGUAGAAUGAACCGGCGAGUUACGAUUUGUUGCAAGGUUAAGCGGAAAAAGCGGAGCCGUAGCGAAAGCGAGUCUGAAUAGGGCGCAUAAGUAACAGGUCGUAGACCCGAAACCAGGUGAUCUACCCAUGUCCAGGAUGAAGGUAAGGUAAUACUUACUGGAGGUCCGAACCCACGCACGUUGAAAAGUGCGGGGAUGAGGUGUGGGUAGCGGAGAAAUUCCAAUCGAACUUGGAGAUAGCUGGUUCUCUCCGAAAUAGCUUUAGGGCUAGCCUCGAGGUAAAGAGUCAUGGAGGUAGAGCACUGUUUGGACUAGGGGCCCUUCUCGGGUUACCGAAUUCAGAUAAACUCCGAAUGCCAUGUACUUAUACUCGGGAGUCAGACUGCGAGUGAUAAGAUCCGUAGUCGAAAGGGAAACAGCCCAGACCACCAGUUAAGGUCCCCAAAUAUAUGUUAAGUGGAAAAGGAUGUGGGGUUGCUUAGACAACCAGGAUGUUGGCUUAGAAGCAGCCACCAUUGAAAGAGUGCGUAAUAGCUCACUGGUCGAGUGACCCCGCGCCGAAAAUGUACCGGGGCUAAACAUAUUACCGAAACUGUGGAUGAACCUCUUUAGAGGUUCGUGGUAGGAGAGCGUUCUAAGGGCGGUGAAGUCAGACCGGAAGGACUGGUGGAGCGCUUAGAAGUGAGAAUGCCGGUAUGAGUAGCGAAAGAAGGGUGAGAAUCCCUUCCACCGAAUAUCUAAGGUUUCCUGAGGAAGGCUCGUCCGCUCAGGGUUAGUCGGGACCUAAGCCGAGGCCGAUAGGCGUAGGCGAUGGACAACAGGUAGAGAUUCCUGUACCAGUGCUAAUUGUUUAACCGAUGGGGUGACACAGAAGGAUAGGGAAUCGCACGAAUGGAAAUGUGCGUCCAAGCAGUGAGUGUGAGAAGUAGGCAAAUCCGCUUCUCGCGAAGCAUGAGCUGUGAUGGGGAAGGAAAUUAAGUACGGAAGUUCCUGAUUUCACGCUGUCAAGAAAAGCCUCUAGGAAGAGUAGUACUGCCCGUACCGCAAACCGACACAGGUAGAUGAGGAGAGAAUCCUAAGGUGAGCGAGAGAACUCUCGUUAAGGAACUCGGCAAAAUGACCCCGUAACUUCGGGAGAAGGGGUGCUCUAUUAGGGUGCAAGCCCGAGAGAGCCGCAGUGAAUAGGCCCAGGCGACUGUUUAGCAAAAACACAGGUCUCUGCAAAACCGUAAGGUGACGUAUAGGGGCUGACGCCUGCCCGGUGCUGGAAGGUUAAGAGGAGUGCUUAGCUUCGGCGAAGGUACGAAUUGAAGCCCCAGUAAACGGCGGCCGUAACUAUAACGGUCCUAAGGUAGCGAAAUUCCUUGUCGGGUAAGUUCCGACCCGCACGAAAGGCGCAACGAUCUGGGCACUGUCUCAACGAGAGACUCGGUGAAAUUAUAGUACCUGUGAAGAUGCAGGUUACCCGCGACAGGACGGAAAGACCCCGUGGAGCUUUACUGCAACCUGAUAUGGAAUGUUUGUACCGCUUGUACAGGAUAGGUAGGAGCCGAAGAGACGUGUGCGCUAGCAUACGAGGAGGCAAUGGUGGGAUACUACCCUGGCUGUAUGACCAUUCUAACCCGCCACGCUUAGCGCGUGGGGAGACAGUGUCAGGUGGGCAGUUUGACUGGGGCGGUCGCCUCCUAAAGAGUAACGGAGGCGCCCAAAGGUUCCCUCAGAAUGGAUGGAAAUCAUUCGCAGAGUGUAAAGGCACAAGGGAGCUUGACUGCGAGACUGACAAGUCGAGCAGGGACGAAAGUCGGGCUUAGUGAUCCGGUGGUUCCGCAUGGAAGGGCCAUCGCUCAACGGAUAAAAGCUACCCCGGGGAUAACAGGCUUAUCUCCCCCAAGAGUCCACAUCGACGGGGAGGUUUGGCACCUCGAUGUCGGCUCGUCGCAUCCUGGGGCUGUAGUCGGUCCCAAGGGUUGGGCUGUUCGCCCAUUAAAGCGGCACGCGAGCUGGGUUCAGAACGUCGUGAGACAGUUCGGUCCCUAUCCGUCGCGGGCGCAGGAAAUUUGAGAGGAGCUGUCCUUAGUACGAGAGGACCGGGAUGGACACACCGCUGGUGUACCAGUUGUUCCGCCAGGAGCAUCGCUGGGUAGCUAUGUGUGGCAGGGAUAAACGCUGAAAGCAUCUAAGCGUGAAGCCCCCCUCAAGAUGAGAUUUCCCAUUUCUUCGGAAAGUAAGAUCCCUGAAAGAUGAUCAGGUAGAUAGGU